UAUUGUGUACCAGUAACAAAACCUGAAAGAUUCAAUCAAAACCUUUUGUAAAUCAAGCUGUUUUCAUUCCCUAUGCCGUCCAGGUAAAAAUAUUCGUCCAGACUAUGAUCAAAUUUCCUGUCAGAAAUAAUCUGGAAAACGUUCCAGCCCUAAUUAAUGAGGAGUACUUAGACCAUUGUGAUUUACUGGCGAUAUGCCCUUUUCAGGUUACCGUAAGAUAGCCAUAAUCUUUACAUAAGGCGUUNGAUUCUUGAUGAUAAUGAGCUCUGAGUGGGUAAGAUUGAUCGAUAAGACACACUUAUUCCUCAUCUACGAUCGAGCAAUAAUUCNGUGAGAAAAUCGAAGUCGUUUUCUAUCGUUUGGUUGCCAAUAAAACAGACAAGAAACUAAUAGUGACCAAUUGUGAGUUAGAUAUGAGACUCAAUGUUUUUGGCGCUCUUUAUCAGCCAGCACUUAUAGUCUUCUUUUUUUCACAGACACAACGGAAGACCCACUUUGAUAAAGUCAUGUUUUGCGGUAUUUGAUAAAAGAGGGACCCAAUGAAACAAGGCAUCGUUGUACACUAGCCAAUAGCAAAGCUGAUUUCUCAUGACGUCAUGGUCACGUGGUAUGGUGGCUUAUAAGUUGUGUAUAACCUAUAUCCUCAUUUAAUAGCAGCACUCUUUAUUAGAUCCACCCACAACUACUGACCCACAACUACUGUGGGACCUCAGGGUAGAGAUAAGGGUGUUGUACAUGAUCAGUGCUGAGAUUCACAUGAAUAUGGUUCAUCCAAAUGCAAGACAUAAGCUUCAAAGUGGGUUAAUAUGGUCUUAAAUAAGUACGUUUAGUGUUGGAUUCAUGGAAGACUAUCACUAAUCAACCCAUUUAACCUCAGAUCUUCCUACUGAAAUGGUGAUAAAUGUCACAGAAAUGAGUGUCAAUGAGAGUUCAAUUUAUCCUGCUUCGCUAUGGUCAAAACUAGUACACUAAAGACGUCUAACUAUACUAGAAAAACCUAAUAUGCUCAANAACCUGCAAUCUUCAAAGAAAACAAUUAUUUGGUGUCGCUCUCUGGGAUCACACCACGGAAAACAUUGUGCCUUUUGGGGGUAAAUGGUCAAGUUCAACAGAAAAUGCUUUUUUGUCGAGAAAUAUCGCAGUUUACAUUUGAAUACAGAAAGUUCUUGUGUCGAAAAUGGAAGUUCUACAAGUUAAAAUUUUAUCUUUGCUCAACUUCAAGAAUGAUUUGUGCAUAUAUAUAAGGAGUGUCUUGUUAAGAAGUGCCUGUGCCUGGAGGAGAGCUAUUUUAAAGUAAUGAUGGUGAUCAAUAAUGGGAGAAUAGUACGUUCUUUGGACCAUUAACAUUGAUAUUCAUAUUAGGACAUGUACAGAUACACAAUUUUUAAGUUCAAAGCUCAAAACGACAUCGCACUAGUUACACCAACAAACAACUUCUAGAGUUGGAAAAAGAGUUCCAUUUUAGUCGCUACCUUUGUACAACACGACGUAGAGAAAUCUCCAAGACGCUCGAUCUCUC
rnacentral:misc_RNA from 1 species